rnacentral:lncRNA from 1 species
UGCAUCAUUGUGAUUGAUUGAUUUAAGAUGUGUUUGAGACCAUUAAAGUCAUCAUAAAAAUCAUAUUAAGUCAUAGUAUUGUGAACUAGUAGCUGACCUAUUUUUUUAAAUCGAUUAACUAAUUGGUGUCUAAGGAGUGUUUCAAAUACGGUGGUUAUUUAAUUGGUUCCGUUGUUGGCCUGACCAAUUUUAUUGGUAUCUAAGAAAAGCAACGGGGGGACCUCCACCAAUCUUAACACUUUUCUAUCUAAUUAAAUUAGUUUGAAUCUUAAAUGAUGGUAGCUCAGUAUUUUAAAUACUACAUAUACCUUCUUUCAUGCCUAGUCAAUAUCCUAUCAAAAAUCAUAGUAGGUUUG